rnacentral:rRNA from 1 species
UGCCAGACUCCUACGGGAGGCAGCAGUGGGGAAUAUUGCACAAUGGGGGAAACCCUGAUGCAGCGACGCCGCGUGAGCGAUGAAGUAUUUCGGUAUGUAAAGCUCUAUCAGCAGGGAAGAAGAUGACGGUACCUGACUAAGAAGCCCCGGCUAACUACGUGCCAGCAGCCGCGGUAAUACGUAGGGGGCAAGCGUUAUCCGGAUUUACUGGGUGUAAAGGGAGCGUAGACGGCGAUGCAAGCCAGAUGUGAAAGCCCGGGGCUCAACCCCGGGACUGCAUUUGGAACUGUGUGGCUGGAGUGUCGGAGAGGCAGGCGGAAUUCCUAGUGUAGCGGUGAAAUGCGUAGAUAUUAGGAGGAACACCAGUGGCGAAGGCGGCCUGCUGGACGAUGACUGACGUUGAGGCUCGAAAGCGUGGGGAGCAAACAGGAUUAGAUACCCCCGUAAC